rnacentral:misc_RNA from 1 species
CGUAACAAGGUCUCCGUUGGUGAACCAGCGGAGGGAUCAUUACAGAGUUAUCAAAACUCCCAAACCCAUGUGAACAUACCUCGCGUUGCCUCGGCAGGUGGCGUCUCGCCCCGUAAGAACCUACCCUGUAGGAACGUACCCGGUAGACGACCCUGCCGACGGCCCCCGAAACUCUGUUUUAUAGCAUUAAACUUCUGAAAACAUAACUAAAUAAGUUAAAACUUUCAACAACGGAUCUCUUGGUUCUGGCAUCGAUGAAGAACGCAGCGAAAUGCGAUAAGUAAUGUGAAUUGCAGAAUUCAGUGAAUCAUCGAAUCUUUGAACGCACAUUGCGCCCACUAGUAUUCUGGUGGGCAUGCCUGUUCGAGCGUCAUUUCAACCCUUAAGCCCCUGUUGCUUAGCGUUAGGAGCCUACCGGAACUCUCUGGUAGCUCCCCAAAGUCAGUGGCGGAGCCGGUUCGCACUCCAGACGUAGUAGCUUUUACACGUCGCCUGUAGCGCGGGCCGGUCCCCUGCCGUAAAACACCCCAAUUUUUAUAGGUUGACCUCGGA